GAGGGGAAGAAAAGGAUGAGAGGACAUUACUACUUGAUGGAGAGCUCAGUGUGAGGUGGAGCUUCAAGAGUCAGGAGGAGCUUAGGAUGAGAUGGAGCUCCAGGUAGAGGUGGAUCGGAUACUAAACGGGAGACUCGGGAGGACGAGAGGCGACGUUGCAAAGUGAAGUUCCUAUUAUCGUAGGAGAUUUCUCCGAGCA
rnacentral:lncRNA from 1 species